AUUGAACGCUGGCGGCAGGCCUGACACAUGCGAGUCGAGCGGAUGAAGGGAGCUUGCUCCUGGAUUCAGCGGCGGACGGGUGAGUAAUGCCUAGGAAUCUGCCUGGUAGUGGGGGAUAACGUCCGGAAACGGGCGCUAAUACCGCAUACGUCCUGAGGGAGAAAGUGGGGGAUCUUCGGACCUCACGCUAUCAGAUGAGCCUAGGUCGGAUUAGCUAGUUGGUGGGGUAAAGGCCUACCAAGGCGACGAUCCGUAACUGGUCUGAGAGGAUGAUCAGUCACACUGGAACUGAGACACGGUCCAGACUCCUACGGGAGGCAGCAGUGGGGAAUAUUGGACAAUGGGCGAAAGCCUGAUCCAGCCAUGCCGCGUGUGUGAAGAAGGUCUUCGGAUUGUAAAGCACUUUAAGUUGGGAGGAAGGGCAGUAAGUUAAUACCUUGCUGUUUUGACGUUACCAACAGAAUAAGCACCGGCUAACUUCGUG
rnacentral:rRNA from 1 species